GCAGGGGUAGCUCAGUUGGUAAAGCUUCUGACUUCGGCUCAGGUCAUGAUCUUCCAGUUCGUGGGUUCAAGCCCCAUGUCGGGCU
rnacentral:tRNA from 1 species